UACGUAGGGUGCAAGCGUUAAUCGGAAUUACUGGGCGUAAAGCGUGCGCAGGCGGCUUUGCAAGACAGAUGUGAAAUCCCCGGGCUUAACCUGGGAACUGCAUUUGUGACUGCAUGGCUAGAGUGCGGCAGAGGGGGAUGGAAUUCCGCGUGUAGCAGUGAAAUGCGUAGAUAUGCGGAGGAACACCGAUGGCGAAGGCAAUCCCCUGGGCCUGCACUGACGCUCAUGCACGAAAGCUAGGGGAGCGAACAGG
rnacentral:rRNA from 1 species